CAGAUAAAUACUUCAUUAUUACUUCACCUCAUGUCACUUAAUAUUUUUCCUUUUAGCAGAUGAGCAAGUUGAUUGCAGGCCCUUCAAUGAAAUGCCACUAGAUGGAAGAAAUGGAAGUACUGGUAAAUGUUGCCGUUGCCAUUUCCACACUGGCCAACUGUAUAUCAGAAAAGCCCAUCAGAGGGACAUUUCUUAGGUUCACUCACAUAUGGUCAGAGAAUGAAAUCUCCUUAAUCAAGGCAGAUAAUAAAAGGCA